UACGGGGGGGGCAAGCGUUGUUCGGAUUUACUGGGCGUAAAGGGCGCGUAGGCGGUCAGCACAAGUCAGUUGUGAAAUCUCCGGGCUUAACUCGGAAAGGUCAACCGAUACUGUGCGACUAGAGUGCAGAAGGGGCAACUGGAAUUCUCGGUGUAGCGGUGAAAUGCGUAGAUAUCGAGAGGAACACCUGCGGCGAAGGCGGGUUGCUGGGCUGACACUGACGCUGAUGCGCGAAAGCCAGGGGAGCGAACGGG
rnacentral:rRNA from 1 species